GUGGGGAAUAUUGGACAAUGGGCGAAAGCCUGAUCCAGCCAUGCCGCGUGUGUGAAGAAGGUCUUCGGAUUGUAAAGCACUUUAAGUUGGGAGGAAGGGCAGUAAGUUAAUACCUUGCUGUUUUGACGUUACCGACAGAAUAAGCACCGGCUAACUUCGUGCCAGCAGCCGCGGUAAUACGAAGGGUGCAAGCGUUAAGCGGAAUUACUGGGCGUAAAGCGCGCGUAGGUGGUUUUGUAAGUUGGAGGUGAAAUCACCGGGCUCAACCUGGGAACUGCCUCCAAAACUGCAUGACUAGAGUACGGUAGAGGGUAGUGGAAUUUCCUGUGUAGCGGUGAAAUGCGUAGAUAUAGGAAGGAACACCAGUGGCGAAGGCGACUACCUGGACUGAUACUGACACUGAGGUGCGAAAGCGUGGGGAGCAAACAGGAUUAGAUACCCUAGUAGUCC
rnacentral:rRNA from 1 species